UACGUAGGGACCGAGCGUUGUCCGGAAUCAUUGGGCGUAAAGAGCGUGUAGGCGGCCACUUAAGUCCUGCGUGAAAUCUUGCGGCUCAACCGCAAGCGGUCGUGGGAAACUGGGUGGCUAGAGUGCGGGAGAGGAGAGUGGAAUUCCUGGUGUAGCAGUGAAAUGCGUAGAGAUCGGGAGGAACACCAGUGGCGAAGGCGGCCUUCUGGACCAAUACUGACGCUCAUGCACGAAAGCGUGGGGAGCAAACAGG
rnacentral:rRNA from 1 species